GAAGAAAGCGGGCGGCGUGCUUAACACAUGCAAGUCGAACGGAAAGGCCCCCUUGUGGGGUACUUGAGUGGAGAACGGGUGAGUAAAAUGUCAGUAACAUACCCUUCCCUUUGGGCUAACUUCAGGAAACUGGGGCUAAUACAGGACCGGAGCUUCUGCUGCAUGGUGGGGGUUGGUAGGUUGCGGCGGUUGGGCUUGGACUCGUGGCUUAUUCGCCUGUUGGUGGGGUAGUGGCUCACCAAGGCUUUGACGGGUAGCCGGCCUGGUAGGGUGACCGGCCACAUUGGCACUGAGGUACGGCCCAUACUGCUACGGGAGGCAGCAGUGGGGAAUAGUGCACAAUGGGCGGAGGGCGGAAGCAGCAACGCCGGAUGGGGAAUGACGGCCUUCGGGGUGGAAACCACUUUCACGUGUGACGAAGCGUGAGGAAGGGAAAUGGGUAAAGAAGCACGGGCUAACUACUG
rnacentral:rRNA from 1 species